UGCAUGAAGUCGGAAUUGCUAGUAAUCGCGGAUCAGAAUGCCGCGGUGAAUACGUUCCCGGGCCUUGUACACACCGCCCGUCACACCAUGAGAGCCGGUAACACCCGAAGUCAGGAGCCUAACCGCAAGGAGGGCGCUGCCGAAGGUGGGAUUGGUAAUUGGGGUGAAGUCGUAACAAGGUAAC
rnacentral:rRNA from 1 species